rnacentral:rRNA from 1 species
UACGUAGGGCGCAAGCGUUGUCCGGAAUUAUUGGGCGUAAAGAGCUCGUAGGCGGCCUGUUGCGUCCGCUGUGAAAUCCCGGGGCUCAACCCCGGGCCUGCAGUGGAUACGGGCUGGCUAGAGGCAGGCAGGGGAGAACGGAAUUCCUGGUGUAGCGGUGAAAUGCGCAGAUAUCAGGAGGAACACCGGUGGCGAAGGCGGUUCUCUGGGCCUUACCUGACGCUGAGGAGCGAAAGCGUGGGGAGCAAACAGG